rnacentral:rRNA from 1 species
UACGUAGGGGGCGAGCGUUGUCCGGAAUCAUUGGGCGUAAAGAGCGUGUAGGCGGCUUGGCAAGUCUGACGUGAAAGCCCGCGGCUCAACCGCGGAUUGUCGUUGGAAACUGCCUCGCUAGAGUCCGGAAGAGGAGAGCGGAAUUCCUGGUGUAGCGGUGGAAUGCGCAGAUAUCAGGAAGAACACCCGUGGCGAAGGCGGUUCUCUGGGACGGUACUGACGCUGAGACGCGAAAGCGUGGGGAGCGAACAGG